rnacentral:rRNA from 1 species
ACACGUAGGGGCCUGACGUUGUUCGGAAUCAUUGGGCGUAAAGGGCGCGCAGGCGGCCGUCCAAGUCCGGUGUUAAAUGGUCGGGCUCAACCCGAUCAUGCGCUGGAAACUGGGCGGCUGGAGUCCCGGAGGGGAUGCCGGAAUUCCAGGUGGAGGGGUGAAAUCUGUAGAUAUCUGGAAGAACACCGAUGGCGAAGGCAGGCAUCUGGCCGGAGACUGACGCUGAGGCGCGAAGGCGCGGGGAGCGAACAGGUUUAGAUACCCUGGUAGUCCGCGCAGUAAACGAUGCGCACCAGGUGUCGGGCGGCAGCGCCCGGUACCGGAGCAAACGCGAUGAGUGCGCCGCCUGGGGAGUAUGCCCGCAAGGUUGAAACUCAAAUGAAUUGGCGGGG